rnacentral:sRNA from 1 species
UUUUAGGUACUCUUCAACGACCUUGGAC